UUUUUUUUUUUCCAGAAUGGUUUUUUAGAUGUGUGUAGGCCAGAAGGGCUAGACCUUGGAGUCAGUAAACCCUGUGUGAAUUCCAGCCUUGCCAUGGCCUCUGUGUGACUUUGGGCAAGACAUCUAACUCUCUAAAGUUCAACAUAUGACAAAUAUGUAGGUUAUAGAAGAAGAUGGCCUAGUUCAAAGCUUUCUAGGCUGUGGGAUCUUGGGAAAGAUGCUUAACUUCUCUGUGCUUCAGUUUUCCCACCUGUCAAAUGGCUAUGACAUCAUUUCCCUGAUAAAGCUGAUGUGAGAAUUAAAUCAGUUCAUUUGAAGUGUUUAAAAGAGUACCUGACACCCAGAAAAUUAUAAUUAGCUCUUAGGUAAUUGUAUCUACUUCGGAGGGAUAUAGUGAGAAUUAAAUGAUUAAUGCAUUCAUGAAGCAUCUAGACUUCUAAAGCUGAGGCUCAGAGAGAGUGCAUCAUUUCCACCAUAUUCUCUUGGUUAAAGUCACAGAACAAACCUAGAUUCAGGGACUGUGGAUGGGAUGAAGGAGGGGUCUAAAGGCAGGAGGAGUGGCUCAUCAGGGGCCACAAAGGCUGUGUAGCCUGUCACAGCAUUAAUAGAGGAGGUGACAUGGGCUACGGAUCUGGGUUGGUGUCAGUGGGUAUUAAAGAGGCAGAAUAGAUAUCAGUAAUUUCACCCAUCAAUGCUCAGCUCUUCCACUCUCAGAAGAGCCCCCAGGCCCUCCCCUCAGAAAUGGUUCCUCAUUUUCUACAACAUCCUAACUAACUGUUCGUAUAUGCUUCACACAAGAAAUCGGAAGAAUGCUUGAGAAAUGGACUAUUUCUAGAGACAGGUCCUCUGGCUACAAAAAAGGGAAAAAUGACAAAAGACAGAACAUUGAAAGCUAUAAUAAAACAAAACAAAACAAAUCCUACAAUGAAGGGCAGAUGAGGGCAUUUAAAGCACAGAGUGUCAUACAGACAAAUGUGUAUUUUGCAUGUGUGCUAUUUCAGUUAUCAGAAGCUAGAUUGCUGCUACAGACCCUAACUUUUCCAAUCCCUCCAUCAGUGAAGGUGAGGAGGAGGAGGUGAUAUUGAGGCUCAUCCAGGGAGGCGGGCAUGUCUUGUUGAUUAGGGAAUCCCCAUGACUGGCCCUUAAUAGGUGCUUUGUAAGUACUUGCUAAUGGUAUUGUCAGCCAUUUAUUUGAAUGGUUUGCUCUUUGCUGGUGCUAUACCAAAUGCUUGCCAAAUGUCAUGUUAUACCACUUUACAGUUUGUAAAUCCUUUUCACCAAUAUCAACUCUUUUAUCUUCACCAGAAUCACCUUUUUAUCCAUGGGAAGACAGAGGCUUGGGAAGAUAGGGACUGGCUCAGUUGGCAAAGUUGGGAUAUAAAUUCAUAUGGUUCAGUUUCCUCAUCCAGUGUUCUAGUUCCUUUCCCCAGACACCCCAGAUUAUCAGGAGCUUCAUCCAUGUCCUUUACCACAUGUGCUGAAUAUGUGCUAAAUGCCCAGGAGUCUUGGACUGGGCUCUGCUGCAUACUCAGUGAUUUUGCUCUCACUCUAUGUGGUGCAUUUUGCUAUGCCUGAUAUAAAUUCAUUUUCACAAUUGCUACAUGAUAUUGGGACUUGUGCUCAUAUUGCUGAUGAGAAAACUGAUUUCAGAGGGGUUAAGUGAAUUUCCCAAGGUUGUGCAGUUGGAAAGUGCCAGUGCUGAGAUUCAAACACAAGUCUGCGUGAUGCCUAAGGCCACAGUCUUUCCAUCCACUGCUCCCUCCUACGAGAUGGCCUCUCAGCUGUACUCCAGUUCUCUUCCCAUUAUGCUGGACUCAGAGCUCUUUCCAGCCCCAGGUGAUAAGCCUGGAAUUGAGAAUAAAGAUGUGUCCGCACUCACAGGCAGCGCCAGAAUUUUCUGUGGCAAACAUCUAGAUAUACACAUAGGCAUUGGUGCUAACAUUUACUGAGCACCUCCUGUAUGCAUCCAUCAUUAGACCUGCUGUUUACAUACAGUGUUACUUUUCAAUCUCAUGUCACACUUACAAAGUUGAUACUCUUGCCCCAUUUUACAGAGGAGAGGGCAGAUGCUAAGAAAGGAGAGGUACCUUUCCCAAAAUCAUUCAUGCUGCCCGACUCCAAAGCACUGUUUACUCUCUCAGAGGCCUCAGAGAGGCUUUGAAUGGUGCAGAACCUUGUCUAGGAAAACUCCAUGGAAACGAUGAUGCCUGAGCUGCACCUUGCAAAAUACCAUGCAACCAAGAUAUGUCUACUGAGGGCCCCAUGAAUGUGUUAUUACAGCUAUGAUUCGGUUUCUAUGUACUUCUCAAAUCAGAUGUGUAAAUAUAGUCAAAAACAUUUCUCUUUGUAGCACAGACCUCCAGCAGUUUCCACUUGGCAUCCUCGUUCCAAGGAAAGAUAAUAAAUUAGUUCUAAUUAUCUUUCCUGCACACUGAGACAAGCUUCUCCUGUUUACACUUUGUAAACAGAAGAGACAAGGGCUCAUCUAGGCUUCUCCUAAGGAAAGUGGUCUGUGAGGGGAUGGGGGUAGCAAGCAGGUCUGGCAGGUGGCUUUUGGUUCUGAAUCACCUUGGGCUGCUGUGCCCAAAGUGUUUGUACCCCUGGUAUUCACAUGAGCUCAGAGGAGAUUCUGUCUUCUGUUAUAUAGUAAGAGUCCAUGAAUCUACUGUCCUGGAGGAUUUUUCAGCUUUUGUUUGUUUGUUUCCGGGCCAUACCCACGGCAUAUGGAAGUUCCCAGGCUAGGGGUUGGCAUGGUGUUUGAAUGGAAUCUUGAAAAAAGAUAGGUUUCUAAUAUAUUAAGAUGGAGGAGGAAAAAUAUUUUAGGUGGAACAGAGAGGUAGGAAAGAAAACGUGGGCAUGGAUGUGGAAGAGGCUGAUGUGUGAAAAGGAGCUGAAUGGAUCACAAGACUGGGCUCCAUAAGACUGGGCCACGUUCAUUCAAUGGCAGAUUGUUACUGAGUGUCUACUAUGUGUCAGGCAUGGUUACAGCCUCUAAGAAUAACCCAGUGAACAGCACAGGUUCCAAGACUCCAGUCUGGUGGUUCCCAACCGAGGGCAGUUUUACUCCCAGGUGACAUUUGGCAAUGUCUGGAGAUAGUUUUACUUGUGCCACUGAGGUGAUACUACUGGCAUCUAGUUAGUAGAAGCCAGAGAUAUUGCCAGAUAUCCUAUAAUGUAUACGAAAGCCUCCCCCAGCAAAUCAUUGUUGGCCCUUUUACAGCGUCAGUAGCUCUAGUAGAAUGACAGGCGGGAGCCAGCUCCUGGAGAACCUUGCAGACCAGGCCAAAGAAUGUGCCUGUGCCUUUUCCAGAUCAGGUGGCCUCAUGCAACCAAAUGUGACAGCAGAAAAGCCGAGAGCAAACCCUUUCUGUUGCAAAUGACCUCCCAGCGCAAAAGACAUCAGUUCAGUUGCCUCAGCUCUUUUAUUACAGGCCUGGGAUGACCUGCAAAUGAAAUUCUACCACCUCUGGUUCAGAACUACUCAGAGCUUAUGAGAAUAUACAGCCCACCAAAAGGGAUGGCUUCUUCCUUCUUAAUCAAAUUAAGUAAAUAGUGUCUCCGCAGAAACUCUGCAGAGCGGAGGAAUUUAUUACAAAUGACCUAAUCUCAUGGUUCUCCCAUGAAAAGGAAACAGGCUAAACCAUGUCUAACCCUCUUCACCCUGAGCAUUUCCAAGUACGGGAGCUGGGCCAGAGUCUACUUAUUAAGUUAAGCAAUAUUUACUGGGUCUAGCUUGUAGAGUAUCAGUAUGGUGGAACUUAACUGCCUUUUAAAAUGAAAGUCUACUUUUCAUGAUUAUCUCAAGCAUCCAGUGCUAUUCUGCUCUUUUAUUGCUGGUCAAGAGGAAAACAGGGACUCAGCUGUGGCUUCCAGCUAUGACACGUGACAUGUUCACAUGUCAGUUCAAGAAAGACAAGACAGUGCUCAGGCACUUCGAGGUGGGCAUCUCAGAAACAGCAUAGGCUCUGCUAUCUGUCAUGCCAGUUUGGAUGGGCACCAGCUUUGCCUUUCACUGUGCACUCGUGGACAAAUCUCUUAACCUCUCUGAACUCUAGUCUCUUUACCAAGAAAAACAGAAAGCCAAAUGCCUCUUAGAAUUGUUACUUAGGUAAUUGUGGUGAGGAAAUGGGUAUAAAGCACCAUGCCUGGCAAGCCCUCAAUAAAUUCUAAGUGAUGUUGUCAGGUCAUUUUCCCAUCUAGAUGUCUCAGUGAAGAUGUGGGGGCUGGCCAAGGGAAAAAAAAAACAAAAAACAAAACGAAAACCCUGAGGAUCUGCUUUGAGGUUUAGUUACUUUUCUUGUCAAGAGGGGGGGAUUUCUUGUGGACCAGAGGCUUCUAUGCAGUUCAUACAAUUCAGGCCAAGUCUCUAGGUCUAGGCAGAAGCUGGCAGGUAAGCUCUCCACCAGGUUGGAGAGAAUAAGAAAGAAAAUCAAUUAAAAGGGCUUUUCAGGGAAUGAGGGGUGGCAAACACCCAGGGUUAAUCCUGUUGGGAGAUCUGAAUUUCCAUAACAGGCGAGGCCUUCCCUUUAACCCGUUGGCACGGUGAGUUGGAGUUUUCUGGGGUGAAGUCCAUUACUGGCAAUGGGUGUGCCUCGUGUGAUUAAUGACCCUGGUUACGGGCCGGUUAGCAGCAGAGAGCUCCAUCCAUCUCACUUCAUGGAAGCAUCACACACCAUUUAUUGUCUGCAGCCAGGAUGUGUUCCUUUGCAAUUAGGUAAAUGUCUUCUUUUGAGCAGACGUUGUAAUUCCUCCAUUACUGCCCCAGGCCUCCCUCCCACACCCAUUGGGUGGGAAGGCAAAGUGUGGGAGUCAGAGAGUGGGACCAUGACGGGUGCUAUUUCAUGACCUCAAAUAUGAAGACGGCCAGGAGCUUUUUUUCCUGCUCUCAGCCACCUCCUUUCAAAGCAAUGUUAGACCCAGCGAGUCCCAAAUAUCAUGGCUUUAAAUGCACCCAAAGGAGGGGUUCCACUGUGGCUCAGUGGGUUACGAACAUGACUAGUAUCCAUGAAGAUGAAGGUUUGAUCCCUGGCCUCUCUCAGUGGGCUAGGGGUCUGGUGUUGCCAUGAGUCAUGGUGUAGGUCACAGAUGUGGCUCAGAUCUGGCAUUGCUAUGGCUGUGGCAUAGUCCUGCAGCUGCAUGACCAAUUUGACCCCUAACCUGGAACUUCCAUAUGGCACCUAUAUGGCCCUGAAAAGAAAAGAAAAAAUAAAAUCCACCCAAGGGAAAGAAAUAAGGCACAGCAUUAGAUGAAUGUUAAAUGAAUCCUUUGCUCAUUUUCUGUUGUAAAAAAAGAAACUCACAACUAAUGGUUUGAAGUAGCAGCUGUCUUUCUGGGGUGUUUCCUCUGUGUCAGGCACUGUGCUCCCCUCAGCAGAGCUGUAUCAGGCGUGCCCUAUUAUUAUCUCUAGCUGUCAGGAAAACUGAGGUGUCAGAUGGAGAAGAAAGUUCCUCUGAGUUGGACUCCUGGGAUACACCUGUGCUGGGCCACACAGCCUCCCUCUGGGGCCGUGCACUUCACCACUGGGCUAUCCUGCAAUUCCCGCUCAUGCACAGAUGAACACGGACCCAUGCAGGACUAACAGACCACAGAGAGGUGUUUCUGUGAGAGAGCCCUUCAUAUGCAACAAAAAAAGCAUUACUUUAUUCUACGGUUACCAAUGGGACACCCUCCACGGCCAGGCCCUGUGCAAGUUCUGGAGAUAUAAUAGGGAAUAAGAUGAAUGGUUACAGAACUUACUCUGAUAGCAGUUACAACUAUGGCUGCCACCCGUUAUGGUUUAUUAUACACCUUGGGCUACACUAAGUAUUUUACCUACCGGAUCUCAUUUAAUCUACACCAGCAUCGAUGAAGAAUGUGUGGUAAUUAUCCAAAUAUUUCCAGUGAGGAGAUGGUGGCAAAGAAAGUUAUAAAAAAGCCAGCCAGGGGUUAAGGCCACCAGUUGGUUGCAGAUGGGUGCUCUGAAUCCACACAUUUUGACACUCGCUGGGCUUUUGGAAACUGAGCAAGUCAUUGCAAGUGUGUUGAGAUGGCCUGAGUGUGUGCCGAGCAGCAGGCAUUGGGGGCAGAGGUGACAAGCGCAUAGAACAGGAGGAAGUGGCCUAUUCUGAGGGUUAGGGGAGAGAGCCAAAAGUGAGAGAGUGAAAGGAAAUCCCGUUAGGUUUGGGAAUGAGGAGAGGAGGAGGAGGGAGUGUUUAUUGUGCCCAGUGAGCCUUGACAAGCAUGACGUUUUUCAGGCCUAGAGAGGCCGCUGGCACUGGAGCGUUGAGACCAAGGGGAGCAGCCUGAUAAAGCCGGAUAUGUGGGUCAGGAGCCACCUUCCAUCAGGCCUAGUAGGCUGCAUUAAAGAUUCUUGAAUUUCAGAGAUCCCAUUCUGGCUCCGUGGGCUGAGAACCUGACGUGGUGUCUAUGAUGAUGAUGCAGGUUAGAUACCUAGCCUCGCUCAGUGGGUUAAGGAUCUGGCAUUGCCACAAGCUGAGGCAUAGGUCACAGAUGCAGCUCAGAUCCUGUGUGGCUGUGGCAUAGGCCAGCAGCUGCACCUCUGAUUCAACCCCUAGCCUGGGAACUUCCAUAUGCAGAUGUGGCCCUAAAAGACCAAAAAAAAAAAAAAAAAAAAAAA
rnacentral:lncRNA from 1 species